CUGCCUUGGGGAAGCCAUGCAUGAGGAGGAUGAGUAGGGCUCUGGAGGUGAAAGAGGAAAAUGCGUUCCAGGCGCAUCCUUGGACCACUCUUUGAGAAACACUGCUUUUAAUCCAAGGAGCAUCUUUUAAACAAGGGAAGCCUGUAGACAUAGCAAACGUAUUGCUUAUUUUAAAAAGUUCCUGAAAUGAAGCAUUAUUGGAGUCGUGCCAGUUGGAUCCACAUUUUUGUUCUAGUUUCCGGCAUACUGCUGCAUGAACAGUGCAUCUCGAAGCACUGAAUAAAACAGCCCCAUAUGGGUUGUAAUUGAUUAACUGGAACAGUAUCUUCAGCCUCUGUAUCAGGUGAGAAGUUGGAAUAAACUGGCAUGCCUCACCCA
rnacentral:lncRNA from 1 species